CGCCGGGARGGGAUCAUUACACAAAUAUGAAGGCGGGCUGGAACCUCUCGGGGUUACAGCCUUGCUGAAUUAUUCACCCUUGUCUUUUGCGUACUUCUUGUUUCCUUGGUGGGUUCGCCCACCACUAGGACAAACAUAAACCUUUUGUAAUUGCAAUCAGCGUCAGUAACAAAUUAAUAAUUACAACUUUCAACAACGGAUCUCUUGGUUCUGGCAUCGAUGAAGAACGCAGCGAAAUGCGAUAAGUAGUGUGAAUUGCAGAAUUCAGUGAAUCAUCGAAUCUUUGAACGCACAUUGCGCCCUUUGGUAUUCCAAAGGGCAUGCCUGUUCGAGCGUCAUUUGUACCCUCAAGCUUUGCUUGGUGUUGGGCGUCUUGUCUCUAGCUUUGCUGGAGACUCGCCUUAAAGUAAUUGGCAGCCGGCCUACUGGUUUCGGAGCGCAGCACAAGUCGCACUCUCUAUCAGCAAAGGUCUAGCAUCCAUUAAGCCUUUUUUUCAACUUUUGACCUCGGAUCAGGUAGGGAUACCCGCUGAACUUAAGCAUAUCAAUAAGCGGAGGAAA
rnacentral:rRNA from 1 species